rnacentral:rRNA from 1 species
GGUAUAUCUCCAGAUAUAUAUUUAAAAUCUAUAAUUGUCUCUUAUUAAUGAUUCGGAAAUAGAAAAACUUGGUUAUGUUAUUAUUCUUCGUUGGUUCGUUUAAUGGAAAACACUUUGCUACAAGAAAUAAUGGAAAUUUUAUAACGAAUUUAAUAAAAUGUUUUUAUCAUUAUGUAUAAAGAAUUAAUGGCAAGAAAAAGUUAUAUACAACCUCAACUCAUAUGGGAGCAUAUUAAUUAGGGGAGGAAAAGAAACUGACAAGGAUUUUCUUAGUAGCGGCGAGCGAAAAGAAAACAGUUUAGCACUAAGUCACUUUGUCUAUGUGGCAAAUGUGAGAUGCAGUGUAUGGAGCGUCAAUAUUCUAGUAUGAGAAAUUAACGCAUAAAAGGUGCCAGGCCUGUAUAAAGUUAAUGAUUACUAGAUGAUAUUUCCAAAGAGUCGUGAUACUUGAAAGUGCAGCACUACGUAGGUGGUAAACUCCAUCUAAAACUAAAUAUAACCAUGAGACCGAUAGUAAACAAAUACCGUGAGGGAAAGUUGAAGAGAACUCUGAAUAGAGAGUUAAACAGUACGUGAAACUGCUUAGAUGAACCUGAAUAUCCGUUAUGGAAAAUUCAUCAUUAAAAUUGUAAUAUUUAAAUAAUAUUAUGAGGAUAGUAUGCAUUUUUUCCAUAUAAGGACAUUGUAAUCUAUUAGCAUAAACCAAAUGAUUAUCAUUGAUUUUUGUGUUUAUUAUAUGCACUUGUAUGAUUAACAAUGCGAAAGAUUCAGGAUACCUUCGGGACCCAUCUUGAAACACGGACCAAGGAGUCUAGCAUAUGUGCAAGUUAUUGAGAUAUAAACCUAAUAGCGUAAUUAACUUGACUAAUAAUGGGAUUAGUUUUUUAACUAUUUAUAGCUAAUUAACACAAUCCCGGGGCGUUCUAUAUAGUUAUGUAUAAUGUAUAUUUAUAUUAUUUAUGCCUCUAACUGGAACGUACCUUGAGCAUAUAUGCUGUGACCCGAAAGAUGGUGAACUAUACUUGAUCAGGUUGAAAUCAGGGGAAACCCUGAUGGAAGACCGAAACAGUUCUGACGUGCAAAUCGAUUGUCAGAAUUGAGUAUAGGGGCGAAAGACCAAUCGAACCAUUUAGAAGCUGGUUCCUUCCGAAGUUUCCCUCAGGAUAGCUGGUGCAUUUUAAUAUUAUAUAAAAUAAUCUUAUCUGGUAAAGCGAAUGAUUAGAGGCCUUAGGGUCGAAACGAUAUUUCCCAAACGAUCUAUUCCCAAAUUAACAACUCAUGCAGAUACCAUGAAAGGCGUUGGUUGCUUAAAACAGCAGGACGGUGAUCAUGGAAGUCGAAAUCCGCUAAGGAGUGUGUAACAACUCACCUGCCGAAGCAACUAGCCCUUAAAAUUGAUGGCGCUUAAGUUGUAUACCUAUACAUUACCGCUAAAGUAGAUGAUUUAUAUUACUUGUGAUAUAAAUUUUGAAACUUUAGUGAGUAGGAAGGUACAAUGGUAUGCGUAUAAGUGUUUGGCGUAAGCCUGCAUGGAGCUGCCAUUGGUACAGAUCCUGGUGGUAGUAGCAAAUAAUCGAAUGAGACCUUGGAGGACUGGGUUUUGUGUGAACAGUGGUUGAUCACGAGUUAGUCGGUCCCAAGUUCAAGGCGAAAGCCGAAAAUUUUCAAGUAAAACAAAAAUGCCAAAUUAUAUAAACAAAGCGAAAAUAAUACACUUGAAUAAUUUUGAACGAAAGGGAAUAUGGUUCCAAUUCCGUAACCUGUUAUUAAAUAUGGGCCUCGUGCUCAUCCUGGCAACAGGAACGACCAUAAAGAAGCCGUCGAGAGAUAACGGAAGAGUUUUCUUUUCUGUUUUUCUUUUUUAUAUACCAUAGAAGUCUUUCGCAGAGAGAUAUGGUAGAUGGGCUAGAAGAGCAUGACAUAUACUGUUGUGUCGAUAUUUUCUCUUCCGACCUUGAAAAUUUAUGGUGGGGAUACGCAAACUUCUCAACAGGCCGUACCAAUAUCCGCAGCUGGUCUCCAAGGUGAAGAGUCUAUGUCGAUAGAAUAAUGUAGGUAAGGGAAGUCGG